rnacentral:rRNA from 1 species
CCUACGGGAGGCAGCAGUGAGGAAUAUUGGUCAAUGGGAGAGAUCCUGAACCAGCCAAGCCGCGUGAGGGAAGACGGCCCUAUGGGUUGUAAACCUCUUUUGUCGGAGAACAAAACCCGGGACGUGUCCCGGACUGCGUGUAUCCGAAGAAAAAGCAUCGGCUAACUCCGUGCCAGCAGCCGCGGUAAUACGGAGGAUGCGAGCGUUAUCCGGAUUUAUUGGGUUUAAAGGGAGCGUAGGUGGAUUGUUAAGUCAGUUGUGAAAGUUUGCGGCUCAACCGUAAAAUUGCAGUUGAAACUGGCAGUCUUGAGUACAGUAGAGGUGGGCGGAAUUCGUGGUGUAGCGGUGAAAUGCUUAGAUAUCACGAAGAACUCCGAUUGCGAAGGCAGCUCACUGGACUGCAACUGACACUGAGGCUCGAAAGUGUGGGUAUCAAACAGGAUUAGAUACCCCAGUAGUC